rnacentral:rRNA from 1 species
GAUGAACGCUGGCGGCGUGCCUAAUACAUGCAAGUCGAGCGAACAGACGAGGAGCUUGCUCCUCUGACGUUAGCGGCGGACGGGUGAGUAACACGUGGAUAACCUACCUAUAAGACUGGGAUAACUUCGGGAAACCGGAGCUAAUACCGGAUAACAUGUUGAACCGCAUGGUUCAACAGUGAAAGACGGUCUUGCUGUCACUUAUAGAUGGAUCCGCGCCGCAUUAGCUAGUUGGUAAGGUAACGGCUUACCAAGGCAACGAUGCGUAGCCGACCUGAGAGGGUGAUCGGCCACACUGGACCUGAGACACGGUCCAGACUCCUACGGGAGGCAGCAGUAGGGAAUCUUCCGCAAUGGGGGAAAGCCUGACGGAGCAACGCCGCGUGAGUGAAGAAGGUCUUCGGAUCGUAAAACUCUGUUAUUAGGGAAGAACAAAUGUGUAAGUAACUAUGCACGUCUUGACGGUACCUAAUCAGAAAGCCACGGCUAACUACGUG